CAUGCAAGUCGAGCGGACCGACGGGAGCUUGCUCCCUUAGGUCAGCGGCGGACGGGUGAGUAACACGUGGGUAACCUGCCUGUAAGACUGGGAUAACUCCGGGAAACCGGGGCUAAUACCGGAUGCUUGAUUGAACCGCAUGGUUCAAUCAUAAAAGGUGGCUUUCAGCUACCACUUACAGAUGGACCCGCGGCGCAUUAGCUAGUUGGUGAGGUAACGGCUCACCAAGGCGACGAUGCGUAGCCGACCUGAGAGGGUGAUCGGCCACACUGGGACUGAGACACGGCCCAGACUCCUACGGGAGGCAGCAGUAGGGAAUCUUCCGCAAUGGACGAAAGUCUGACGGAGCAACGCCGCGUGAGUGAUGAAGGUUUUCGGAUCGUAAAACUCUGUUGUUAGGGAAGAACAAGUACCGUUCGAAUAGGGCGGCACCUUGACGGUACCUAACCAGAAAGCCACGGCUAACUACGUGCCAGCAGCCGCGGUAAUACGUAGGUGGCAAGCGUUGUCCGGAAUUAUUGGGCGUAAAGCGCGCGCAGGCGGUUUCUUAAGUCUGAUGUGAAAGCCCCCGGCUCAACCGGGGAGGGUCAUUGGAAACUGGGGAACUUGAGUGCAGAAGAGGAGAGUGGAAUUCCACGUGUAGCGGUGAAUGCGUAGAGAUGUGGAGGAACACCAGUGGCGAAGGCGACUCUCUGGUCUGUAACUGACGCUGAGGC
rnacentral:rRNA from 1 species